UUAGGUUUUCGGCAGUUUUCUGUGGGUGAUUGGAGGCGGGGGCCUCUAAUGCAAAUUGAUAAUUUGCAGGCCCUUGCCUGCAAUUUAAUUUUUGGGUUAAGUUAUAAUUUUUAAAUAAGGACCAGUUUCUGUAAUUUGUGAAAUUAGAAGGGCCGGUUCUGAAAUUUUCGAAAUUGUGAGGUUUUGAUUAUAAAUUUUAACUUGGG
rnacentral:lncRNA from 1 species